rnacentral:rRNA from 1 species
GAUGAACGCUGGCGGCGUGCUUGACACAUGCAAGUCGAACGGUAUGUGGCAACACAUAGAGUGGCGAACGGGUGAGUAACACGUGGGAACGUACCUUCUGCAGGGGGAUAACUGACCGAAAGGACAGCUAAUACUGCAUAAGACCGAGAGGAGAAAGGUGCAACAGCAUCGGCAGAGGAGCGGCCCGCGGACCAUCAGCUAGUUGGUGGGGUAAGAGCCUACCAAGGCAACGACGGAUAGCCGGCGUGAGAGCGUGGCCGGCCACAAGGACACUGAGAUACGGGUCCUACUCCUACGGGAGGCAGCAGUGCGGAAUUUUAGAUAAUGGAGGCAACUCUGAUCUAGCGACGCCGCGUGCAGGAAGAAGGUCUUCGGAUUGUAAACUGCUGUGGUAAGGGAAAAAUGCCAUGUAGAGUGGAAAGCUACAUGGAGGGAUGGUACUUUACUAGAAAGCCCCGGCUAACUACGUGCCAGCAGCCGCGGUAAUACGUAGGGGGCGAGCGUUACCCGGAAUCACUGGGCGUAAAGGGAGCGUAGGUGGCCUGACAUGUCAACUGUGAAAACCCGGAGCUCAACUCCGGACUUGCAGUUGAAACUGCCAGGCUUGAGGACGGUAGAGGAAGACGGAACUGCCAGUGUAGGGGUAAAAUCCUUAGAUAUUGGCAGGAACGCCGGUGACGAAGGUGGUUUUCUGGGCCGGUUCUGACACUGAUGCUCGAAAGCCAGGGGAGCGAACG